CUCAAGCAAUCCUCUUGCCUCUUGAGUAACUGGGACUACAGCUCAGCUAAAAUCUGGGUUCCUGCUUCAUAACCAGGAAAAAUUAGACACACAGACACAUUGAAAGUCGAGGAGAGUGGAAUAUAUUAAAAGAAAGCUCUCAGCAAAGAAAGGGGGUCCUGUCAACAGGCUCUCACCUCACAUAUUGAGUAUCAGACCACCACACAGGAGCUGAAGAGACCAGGCUUCUCCCUGCAUAAAGUGUGAAUUCCCGGUGUCUCCACCCCAUUUUCCCAGUGUACAGAAUCUCACUCUGUCACUCAGGCUGGAGUGCAGAGGCACAG